CAAAAGAGUUCAGUUGGUGGCGUCACAGU
rnacentral:piRNA from 1 species